AGAGCCCAAACCGCGCGGAUUCGUCCGUACGGGGUUGCAGGGCCGGAAUGACCGAUUCACGCGUAACCAGAAGAAGUGAGCAGGAAAGCUCCGCCAGAGAGGGUGACAGUCCCGUAUUCGAAAGUGAGAGUGACGGUUCCGGUACCUGAGUACUGCGAGACACGUGAAAUCUCGUGGGAAUCCGGGAGGACCAUCUCCUAAGGCUAAAUACUAACUGACGACCGAUAGUGUACCAGUACCGUGAGGGAAAGGUGAAAAGAACCCCUGUCAGGGGAGUGAAAGAGAAUCUGAAACCUGGUGCUUACAAGCUGUGGGAGCCGUACUUGUACGGUGACCAUGUGCCUUUUGCAUAAUGAGUCAGCGAGUUAAUCUGUACAGCAAGGUUAAGCGUAAGUGAAGCCGUAGCGAAAGCGAGUCCGAACAGGGCCACAGUUGUGCGGAUUAGACCCGAAACCGGGUGACCUAUCCAUGAGCAGGUUGAAGCAAGGGUAAAGCCUUGUGGAGGACCGAACCAGUUCUGGCUGAAAACAGUUUGGAUGACUUGUGGAUAGGGGUGAAAGGCCAAUCAAACCCGGUGAUAGCUGGUUCUCCCCGAAAUAUAUUGAGGUAUAGCCUUGCGGAUUGUCUUAUGGAGGUAAAGCUCUGACAGAACUAGGGGUCCUAUCCGACUACCGAAUUCUUUCAAACUCUGAAUACCAUUAAGAUUUACCGCAGGAGUCAGACGGCGGGUGCUAAGGUUCGUCGUCAAAAGGGCAACAGCCCAGACCGACAGCUAAGGCCUCCAAAUGCAUGCUCAGUGGUUAAGGUGGUGGCGUUGUGUAGACACCCAGGACGUUGGCUUAGAAGCAGCCAUCGUUUAAAGAAAACGUAAUAGCUCACUGGUUCAAUGGCGCUGCGCCGAAAAUGUAACGGGGCUAAGCAUGCUGCCGAAGCUUCGGAUUUGUCUCUGACAACUGGUAGGGGAGCGUUCUCUGCGGGCUGAAGCGGAACCGAAAGGUUUCGUGGACUGCAGAGAAGUGAUUAUGCUGACAUGAGUAACGAUAAAAUAUGUGAAAAACAUAUUCGCCGUAAAUCCAAGGUUUCCUGGGUAAAGGUAAUCUUCCCAGGGUUAGUCGGACCCUAAGGCCAGGCUGAAAGGCGUAGCUGAUGGGAAACGGGUUAAUAAUCCUGUACUUGUGCGAUUGUGCGAAGAAGGGACGCAGGAUGGUAGACAGGCCGGUUUUUGGAAUCCGGUGCAAGUGCGUAGGCGUGCUCCGCAGGCAAAUCCGCGGAGAUGAGCCGAGACACGAGUCCGUGGGCGUAAGCCCUGAAGCUGUUGAGCCACGGCUGCCAAGAAAAGCUUCUAAGUUUAGAUCGCGCGAACCGUACCGCAAACCAACUCAGGUGGAUGGGAUGAAUAAUCCAAGGCGCUCGAGAGAACUCUGGCCAAGGAACUCGGCAAAUUGACCCCGUAACUUCGGAAUAAGGGGUGCUCCCCACGGUGAGACAAAUUCUUGUUCAGCCCCGGGGAGCCGCAGAGAAAUGGUGGUGGCGACUGUUUACUAAAAACAUAGGUCUGUGCGAAGUCCUACAGACGACGUAUACGGACUGACGCCUGCCCGGUGCCGGAAGGUUAAAAGGAGGAGUCAGCGCAAGCGAAGCUCCGAUUUGAAGCCCCGGUAAACGGCGGCCGUAACUAUAACGGUCCUAAGGUAGCGAAAUUCCUUGUCGGGCAAGUUCCGACCUGCACGAAUGG
rnacentral:rRNA from 1 species